rnacentral:rRNA from 1 species
GAUGAACGCUGGCGGCGUGCCUAAUACAUGCAAGUCGAGCGAACAGACGAGGAGCUUGCUUCUCUGACGUUAGCGGCGGACGGGUGAGUAACACGUGGAUAACCUACCUAUAAGACUGGGAUAACUUCGGGAAACCGGAGCUAAUACCGGAUAACAUGUUGAACCGCAUGGUUCAACAGUGAAAGACGGUUUUGCUGUCACUUAUAGAUGGAUCCUCGCCGCAUUAGCUAGUUGGUAAGGUAACGGCUUACCAAGGCAACGAUGCGUAGCCGACCUGAGAGGGUGAUCGGCCACACUGGAACUGAGACACGGUCCAGACUCCUACGGGAGGCAGCAGUAGGGAAUCUUCCGCAAUGGGCGAAAGCCUGACGGAGCAACGCCGCGUGAGUGAAGAAGGUCUUCGGAUCGUAAAACUCUGUUAGUAGGGAAGAACAAAUGUGUAAGUAACUAUGCACGUCUUGACGGUACCUAAUCAGAAAGCCACGGCUAACUACGUG